rnacentral:tRNA from 1 species
GUGUCUGUAGCCCAACGGUAGAGGCGUUGCCCCGAGAAGGCAUUCAGUCCGGGUUCGAAUCUCGGCAGACACA